rnacentral:rRNA from 1 species
UACGGGGGGUGCGAGCGUUGUCCGGAAUCACUGGGCGUAAAGGGCGCGUAGGUGGUUUGAUAAGGGUGUGGUGAAAGUCCGGAGCUCAACUCCGGAUCUGCCGUGCCGACUGUCAAACUCGAGGGCUGUAGAGGCAGACGGAAUUCCGGGUGUAGCGGUGGAAUGCGUAGAGAUCCGGAGGAAGACCGGUGGCGAAGGCGGGUCUCUGGACAGUUCCUGACGCUGAGGCACGAAGGCCAGGGGAGCAAACGGG